rnacentral:rRNA from 1 species
UUGAACGCUGGCGGCGUGCUUAACACAUGCAAGUCGAACGAGAAAGGGACUUCGGUCCUGAGUAGAGUGGCGCACGGGUGAGUAACGCGUAGGUAAUCUACCUCUGCAUCUGGGAUAACACUUCGAAAGGGGUGCUAAUACCGGAUACACUCAUGCAUCGCGAGAUAUAUGAGGAAAGGAGACCUCUCCUUGGAAGUUUCUGUGUAGAGAUGAGCCUGCGUCCCAUUAGCUAGUUGGCAGGGUAAGAGCCUACCAAGGCGACGAUGGGUAGCGGGUCUGAGAGGAUGAUCCGCCACACUGGAACUGAAACACGGACCAGACUCCUACGGGAGGCAGCAGUGAGGAAUAUUGGACAAUGGGCGCAAGCCUGAUCCAGCGACGCCGCGUGAGUGAUGAAGGCCUUUGGGUCGUAAAGCUCUGUCAGCAGGGAAGAACGGCCGUGUGGUUAAUACCCAUGCGGAUUGACGGUACCUGCAGAGGAAGCACCGGCUAACUCCGUGCCAGCAGCCGCGGUAAUACGGAGGGUGCGAGCGUUAAUCGGAAUUACUGGGCGUAAAGGGCGCGUAGGCGGCUGAUCAAGUCAGGUGUGAAAGCCCACGGCUUAACCGUGUGAAGUGCAUCUGAAACUGGUCGGCUUGAGUAUCGGAGAGGAAAGUGGAAUUCCCGGUGUAGAGGUGAAAUUCGUAGAUAUCGGGAGGAAUACCGGUGGCGAAGGCGACUUUCUGGACGAAUACUGACGCUGAGGCGCGAAAGCGUGGGGAGCAAACAGGAUUAGAUACCCUGGUAGUCCACAGCUGUAAACGAUGUGCACUAGAUGUGGGGAAGUGUUGACCUUUCCUGUGUCGCAGCUAACGCAUUAAGUGCACCGCCUGGGGAGUACGGCCGCAAGGUUAAAACUCAAAU